rnacentral:rRNA from 1 species
UUUUAACCCAUUUAACAAUACUGAUUAUACUGUGGGGACGAAAGUCUCUGCUUUUAACUAGAUAGCAACUUUCAGCAGUGGAUGUCUAGGCUCGCACAUCGAUGAAGAACGCUGCGAACUGCGAUACGUAAUGCGAAUUGCAGGAUUCAGUGAGUCAUCGAAAUUUUGAACGCAUAUUGCACUUCCGGGUUAGUCCUGGGAGUAUGCCUGUAUCAGUGUCCGUACAUCAAACUUGGCUUUCUUCCUUCCGUGUAGUCGGUGGAGGAUGUGCCAGAUGUGAAGUGUCUUGCGGUUUGUGUGCCUUCGGGCCGAGGCUGCGAGUCCUUUGAAAUGUACUGAACUGUACUUCUCUUUGCUCGAAAAGCGUGGUGUUGCUGGUUGUGGAGGCUGCCUGCGUGGCCAGUCGGCGACCGGUUUGUCUGCUGCGGCGUUUAAUGGAGGAGUGUUCGAUUCGCGGUAUGGUUGGCUUCGGCUGAACAGACGCUUAUUGUAUGCUUUUCCUGCUGUGGCGUGAUGGGCUGGUGAACCGUAGCUGUGUGUGGCUUGGCUUUUGAAUCGGCUUUGCUGUUGCGAAGUAGAGUGGCGGCUUCGGCUGUCGAGUGUCGAUCCAUUUUGGGAACUUUUGUGUGCGCUUUCGAGUGUGCAUCUCAAUGGACCUGA